AACUAACGCUGGCGGCGUGCCUAAUACAUGCAAGUCGAACGCGAAAGUCCUUCGGGAUGAGUAGAGUGGCGCACGGGUGAGAAACACGUGGGUAAUCUGCCCAGAAGUGGGGAAUAACUCCUCGAAAGAGGAGCUAAUACCGCAUAAGACCACGACAACUAAGGUUGUUGGGGUUAAAGGUGACCUCUGUUUACAAGUUAUCGUUUCUGGAUGAGCCUGCGCAACAUUGGCUAGUUGGUGGGGUAAUGGCCUACCAAGGCUACGAUGUUUAGCUGGUCUGAGAGGAUGAUCAGCCACACUGGAACUGAGACACGGUCCGGACUCCUACGGGAGGCAGCAGUAGGGAAUAUUGCUCAAUGGGGGAAACCCUGAAGCAGCAACGCCGCGUGAGUGAUGAAGGCCUUCGGGUCGUAAAGCUCUGUUGUACGGGGAGAACGUGGGUAUGGCUAACAUCCAUAUCCAGUGACGGUACCGUAUAAGAAAGGGACGGCUA
rnacentral:rRNA from 1 species